rnacentral:rRNA from 1 species
GACGUAGGGCGCGAGCGUUGUCCGGAUUUAUUGGGCGUAAGGAGCUCGUAGGCGGCUUGUUGCGUCGGCUGUGAAAACCCAUGGCUUAACCGUGGGCUUGCAGCCGAUACGGGCAGGCUAGAGUUCGGUAGGGGAGACUGGAAUUCCUGGUGUAGCGGUGAAAUGCGCAGAUAUCAGGAGGAACACCGGUGGCGAAGGCGGCAUCCUGGACCGGCAUUGACGCUGAUGCGCGAAAGCGUGGGGAGCAAACGGG